CUUAAGAAAUCGAGCCCACACACGCAGCAAGUGUGCGGAAGAAGAGAGGAAGAGUGCUUGGUGCGCUGAUUGCGGAACGAAUGUUUAUAUAUGACAAAGUGACGCUGUCAAUAGACA
ensembl:ncRNA T01C1.7 ncRNA